UAAACCUGUUUUCCCACUUAGUCCUUGGGGCAGAGCGCUCUUUCUUGCCUGCUCACUUAUAUCCUUGACAAGCAUCCUAUAUUAAUAAACCUACUUCUUAACUAUCACUUUGCUUCCUGUGGAAUUCCUUCUGCACUGAGACAAGAAGAACGGGAGCUUCAUUUAGUCCUGAGACCAGUUGACAUACCAAGUGGGGAAAGAGGCUGCGAUUAGGACCUCUGAGGAGAGGGAAAUGGUGGCUGUGUCGAUAUCCCUGAGAGGGUGAAAAUGAGGCUGAUUCUGAGAGUAUUGGAAAACUUCAAGCUGGAUUCAACCUCUACUACAGAAAUGAUAGAAACAAAUGCUGUUGCCAAAGCGCUGCUGCCAGCGUGAAGGGGCAUUGCUGGUGUGCUUCCGAAGAACAGGAAGCAAAACUGGAACAGAACAGAAGACCAAGAAAAGACCACAUAAGGACAUAGCGAGAAGAUGGCUGUUGACAAACGAAGAAAAGAGUCUCUACCAGAAACCACAUUUGCUGGCCCCUUGAUCUUGGACUUCCC